UCCUCGGCCAGUAUAGUGGUCAGUAUCCCCUCCUGUCACGCGCGGGGAGACCGGGGUUCGAUUCCCCACUCGGGGAA